rnacentral:rRNA from 1 species
GACGGGGGAUGCAAGCGUUGUCCGGAAUCACUGGGCGUAAAGCGUCUGUAGGUGGUGAUGCAAGUCACUGGUGCAAAACUCUGGCUCAACCGGAGAAAAGACAGUGAAACUGCAUGACUAGAGUGUGGGAGAGGUAGAAGGAAUUCCCUGAGUAGCGGUGAAAUGCGUAGAUACAGGGAAGAACACCGGAGGCGAAAGCGUUCUACUGGAACACAACUGACACUGAGAGACGAAAGCUAGGGGACCGAAUGGG